GUUAUUACUUGACAUGCUUUUGCUUGAGGCUCUGGUCAUUUGCAUAAAAUCAUCGAAUGUUUUUAGUGGAUUUUUGCCAAAUGUUUUUCUCUUAUCAGAAAGACGUUGUAAGUUAUUAGAUGAGCACUGAAAAAAUGAUUUUUGUGUCAACUUUCUUGGUUAUUUAGCUAUGUUUAAAUGGUAUUGCAAGUUGCAGCAUAUAUGGAAUUUUCCUUUUUUGGUAAAUAUAUACCUAAUUUGCUUGGACCAUUCUAAAUCCUGUUAAUUGCAUACCCAAAUUGAGGUAGGUCCCUUUUCUUGAGAAUAUUCUCAAGCAAAGGUCCGUAUUGUUCAAAGAAAAAUUGGAGCUUUACUUUAUGUAGUGGCAAGUAUAGUACUCAAAGAGGCAGUAGAAGUUUAAGUGGUUUCAAAAUCAGAGGCAAUGUUACCCCCCAAUGCAUUUUGGAAUCAUUAAGGUGGCCACUUGUGUCAGGCAACUUUAUAUUUGAUAGAUAGCAAAGUGAUGAAAAAAAUACAUUAACUGUUUGACAACUGAAUACCUAUCUCCAACAGUUCUAACAGAGAUGCCAGAAUAUCUUGUAUGGAGAAAAAAUUUACACCUUUUGAGUUCACUUUCUUGAUUGAUAUUUUCUUUAUGCUGACGUUGGAUGUAUAUAAAGUAGGAUGAAAAUGGGAAAGACUCAUUUGGCUACUAACAACUUGUUGAGAAGGCAGGGAUAAUUAAAUCAGGACAAUGUUUAGCAGCACUGUUGAAGCGCCAAUUCACACAAUUCCUGCAAAAGUAAUACAAAAAUAAAUCAAAUUUAGUGUGGACUUAAAGUUAGGUUAUCCAUUACACCACUUAUUCAAGUCUUACAAGAAGAACAAAAAUGGUAGAAAAACUAGGCUGCUUCCCUUUCUUUUUAGCUUGAUGAAUUCUACAAAGUAUGUCUGUUCAGAUUCUUCAAUAAGACUUGAUUUUAUUUAUGUUGGUAUUAAUAUGUAGCAACGCCAUAAAUUCCACAUUUAGAACCAAAAAAAAAAAAAAGGAAAAAGAAAAAAAAAAGGAACUGAUUAUCAAUGUUCCAGGCUGCCAGUUCCAGUAAAGUUCUCAAAUCCUUGCUUUCUGAUAUUAUGCUUUUUCUAUGUCCUUAGCAAUCAUAUUGUAUGGAUUCUUAAUCUUCUGUUUAUUUCUCAACAUUCUCAUGUUCUGGUUCCUACUUCAAGCUGGACUCAUGCUGCUGUAAAUUCAAGCCUGUGCAGUGUUUCACAUUCAUUGCGGUGGCCAGCUCUUUCCAGUGUCUUGUUUCCACAGUAUGAUCGGAUGAGAAAGACUGGCGGCCUUGCAUGUCCUUUUGAUUCACUUUGUGGGGUCCUGCAUGGGUCCACGUGGCACGUGAUAUUCAACUGGCUUUGUGCUAUGAUUGGUCAUGUUUUUGGUUUUUGCUGGGACCCUCCUUGUGCCAUACCCCCCUACCUUUGAUGAGCUAAGAGAAAAGCAAAGAGAUUAAAGAGUGAACAUGGGUUCGACAGCAUGGAGAUGAAGCACUGAAAGAACUAGUCUCUCUUAGCCUCUUUAUCUUCUGAUAUCUAUUCUAUCUAUCUAUCUGCCUUUGAAGCCUAAGUUCCCAGCAAUCAGACAAGUUUUGAAUGAUUCUCAUGUUUAUAUGCUUUUUUUUUCCUAUGAAAAAAAAAAAAAAAAAAAAGGCAAACAUUUAAGUCGCUUUGCUGCAAUUAUUGGCUUUUUCAUUUUUUUUCCUUUUGUAUUGCAACUUGUGAAUGAGAACCAAUGAAAAAUCUGCAGAUUCAUGGAGAAGCAUCUUCACUCCUUUUGCUAUUUUUGUGAGCAAAAUACAUUUUAUAUAAUAUAUAUAUAUUUAUAUAUUUAUAAUGA